rnacentral:snRNA from 1 species
GCGCUUGCUUCGGCUGCACAUAUACUAAAAUUGGAACGAUACAGAGAUUAGCAUGGCCCCUGUGCAAGGAUGACAUGCAAAUUCAUGAAGCUUCCAUAUUUUUU